rnacentral:rRNA from 1 species
AAAAGAGAGUAAGAGCAGUUGGGGGAUGCCUAGGCUCUUGGAGGCGAAGAAGGACGUGUUAAGCUGCGAAAAUUAUCGGGGAGUCGCAAAAAGGUUUUGAUCCGAUAGAGUCCGAAUGGGGCAACCCGUAAUCUUGAAGAGAUUACAUUCCGCAAGGAAGGCUAACGUGGGGAACUGAAACAUCUAAGUACCCAUAGGAAGAGAAAACAAUAGUGAUUUCCGGAGUAGUGGCGAGCGAAAUGGAAAUAGCCCAAACCGAAAAUGUUACGGCACUUUCGGGGUUGUAGGACUGAGUAAAGUUAUUGACAAAGAAUCAGAAUGUUUUGGGAAAGACAACGAAACAAGGUGAAAGUCCUGUACGAGUAAUGCGUCAAUGAUGAUCAGCAUCCUGAGUAAGCGGGGACAAGAGGAAUCCCCGUUGAAACCGCCGGUACCAUCCGGCAAGGCUAAAUACUACCAAGAGACCGAUAGUGAACUAGUACCGUGAGGGAAAGGUGAAAAGUACUCCGAAUAGGAGGGUGAAAAGAACCUGAAACCAACUGCUUACAAGCUGUUGGAGCUGCUUCGUGCAGUGACAACGUGCCUUUUGCAUAAUGAGCCUACGAGUUGCUCCUCACUAGCAAGGUUAAGCACUUCAGGUGCGCAUCCGGAGCGAAAGCGAGUCUUAAUAGGGCGUAUAGUUAGUGGGGGCAGACGCGAAACCUUGUGAUCUACCCUUGUCCAGGUUGAAGGUGUGGUAACACACACUGGAGGACCGAACCAGUUGACGUUGAAAAGUCUUUGGAUGAGAUGAGGGUAGGGGUGAAAGGCUAAUCAAACUGGGAGAUAGCUCGUACUCCCCGAAAUGCCUUUAGGGGCAGCCUCGAGGUCGAGUUUGUUACAGGUAGAGCUACCAAUAGGACUAGGGGGAGUCAAAUCCUACCAAAUCCUGAUGAACUCCGAAUGGUAACAAAUAUACUCGGGAGAGAGGGCUAGGGUGCUAAGGCCCUAGUCCGAGAGGAGAAGAAUCCGGACCAUCAGCUAAGGUCCCGAAGUGUUAGCUAAGUUGACCUAAGGGGGUCCAAUCACAGAGACAGCCAGGAUGUUGGCUUGGAAGCAGCCAUUCAUUUAAAGAGUGCGUAACAGCUCACUGGUCGAGUGAUAGGGCAUCGAUAAUGAUCGGGCAUAAGUUAACCACCGAAGCUGUGGACUGAGCAAUCAGUGGUAGGGGAGCAUUCUAAAUGCGAUGAAUGCGUAUCGUGAGGUAUGCUGGAGCGUUUAGAAAAGCAAAUGUAGGCAUGAGUAACGAUAAAACAAGUGAAAAUCUUGUUCGCCGUAAGACUAAGGUUUCCUGAGCUACGUUCAACGACUCAGGGUUAGUCGGGACCUAAGGAUAACCCGAAAGGGGGAUUCGAUGGCAAAUCGGUUAAUAAUCCGAUACCUGCUUGUUAAGUAUGGGGUGACGGAGUGGUACAACCAUCGCGCACGAACGGUAUGUGCGUUGAAGCUGAAAGAUUAGAUAUUUAAUAGGAAAAUCCGUUAGAUGGACGAUUAAGCGACAGUACAGCGAGCCUACGGGUAAGCUGAUAGUAUGGACUGACACUUCCAAGAAAAACCUCGUUACGUUAAACAACAAGCGGCCCGUACCGCAAACCGACACAGGUGGUCGAGGAGAGUAUCCUCAGGCGCUCGAGUGAAUCACGGCUAAGGAACUAGGCAAAAUAACCCUGUAACUUCGGGAGAAGGGGUACCUACUUAGAAAUAAGAGGUCACAGUAAAAAGGCCCAGGCGACUGUUUAACAAAAACACAGGACUCUGCGAAGUCGUAAGACGAAGUAUAGGGUCUGACACCUGCCCGGUGCCGGAAGGUUAAGAGGGGGGCUUAGCGCAAGCGAGGGUCUGAAUUGAAGCCCCGGUAAACGGCGGCCGUAACUAUAACGGUCCUAAGGUAGCGAAAUUCCUUGUCGGGUAAGUUCCGACCUGCACGAAGUGAGCUCGGUGAAAUUGUAGUCCCGGUGAAGAUGCCGGGUACCCGCCACGGGACGGAAAGACCCCGUGAACCUUUACUACAACUUUGCACUGUUUUCGGAUAAUGGAUGUGUAGGAUAGGCGGGAGAUAUUGAAGUGGUGUCGCUAGGCAUCAUGGAAUCAACGUUGAAAUACCGCCCUUCUGUUAUCUGGAGACUAACCUAUUAAGGGACACUGCAUGGUGGGUAGUUUGACUGGGGUGGUCGCCUCCAAAAGUGUAUCGGAGGCUCCCAAAGGUACCCUCAGCACGGUCGGUAAUCGUGCGCAGAGUGCAAUAGUACAAGGGUGCUUGACUGUGAGACAAACAGGUCGAACAGGGACGAAAGUCGGGUAUAGUGAUCCGGUGGUUCCGCAUGGGUGGGCCAUCGCUCAAAGGAUAAAAGGUACUCCGGGGAUAACAGGCUGAUCUCCCCCAAGAGCUCAUAUCGACGGGGAGGUUUGGCACCUCGA